CUACGCACUCCUACGGAGGCAGCAGUGGGGAAUAUUGCACAAUGGGCGCAAGCCUGAUGCAGCCAUGCCGCGUGUAUGAAGAAGGCCUUCGGGUUGUAAAGUACUUUCAGCAGUGAGGAAGGUGGGUAUGUUAAUAGCAUAUUCAUUUGACGUUAGCUGCAGAAGAAGCACCGGCUAACUCCGUGCCAGCAGCCGCGGUAAUACGGAGGGUGCGAGCGUUAAUCGGAAUUACUGGGCGUAAAGCGCAUGCAGGUGGUUUGUUAAGUCAGAUGUGAAAGCCCGGGGCUCAACCUCGGAAUUGCAUUUGAAACUGGCAAACUAGAGUACUGUAGAGGGGGUAGAAUUUCAGGUGUAGCGGUGAAAUGCGUAGAGAUCUGAAGGAAUACCGGUGGCGAAGGCGGCCCCCUGGACAGAUACUGACACUCAGAUGCGAAAGCGUGGGGAGCAAACAGGAUUAGAUACCCUGGUAG
rnacentral:rRNA from 1 species